UACGUAGGGGGCGAGCGUUGUCCGGAUUUAUUGGGCGUAAAGAGCGUGUAGGCGGCCAGGUAGGUCUGCUGUGAAAACUCGAGGCUCAACCUCGAGACGUCGGCGGAAACCAUCUGGCUAGAGUCCGGAAGAGGAGAGUGGAAUUCCUGGUGUAGCGGUGAAAUGCGCAGAUAUCAGGAAGAACACCAGUGGCGAAGGCGACUCACUGGACACGUAUUGACGCUGAGGUGCGAAAGCGUGGGGAGCAAACAGG
rnacentral:rRNA from 1 species